GAUGAACGCUGGCGGCGUGCCUAAUACAUGCAAGUCGAGCGAACAGAUGAGGAGCUUGCUCCUCUGACGUUAGCGGCGGACGGGUGAGUACCACGUGGAUAACCUACCUAUAAGACUGGGAUAACUUCGGGAAACCGGAGCUAAUACCGGAUAAUAUAUUGAACCGCAUGGUUCAAUAGUGAAAGACGGUUUUGCUGUCACUUAUAGAUGGAUCCGCGCCGCAUUAGCUAGUUGGUAAGGUAACGGCUUACCAAGGCAACGAUGCGUAGCCGACCUGAGAGGGUGAUCGGCCACACUGGAACUGAGACACGGUCCAGACUCCUACGGGAGGCAGCAGUAGGGAAUCUUCCGCAAUGGGCGAAAGCCUGACGGAGCAACGCCGCGUGAGUGAUGAAGGUCUUCGGAUCGUAAAACUCUGUUAUUAGGGAAGAACAAAUGUGUAAGUAACUAUGCACGUCUUGACGGUACCUAAUCAGAAAGCCACGGCUAACUACGUG
rnacentral:rRNA from 1 species